ensembl:lncRNA
CAGGCUUCUCCAUCCAUGGAAUUUUCCAGGAAUUUUGCCUGAAGACUGUCCUGGAGCCACCCUGGAGACUUCGGACAUGUGACGCCAGGUUCAUAACACAAGAUGUUUGACCAAUACAAAGAGGAUCUACAGAGAUCAGUCUUAUCACUUUGCUAAAUUUUGCAUAGAUAAACACCAGAAAUAUGACAAUAACACCAUUAUUGUAAUUUUGCAAAGAUGUCUCCUGACAUUUUAUUUCUAGGAAGAGGGUAGAAGAAAAUAGGUUAGGAAACAAAACUAUUAAAAGGUGUUAUUAUUCAGAUGUCAAAUAAGACAGCUUCUCAAGGUUUGUAAAUGAUUAAGAGAUAACCUUAUAAUUCUGCAAUGAAAACUGUACAGUGAUGCCUAGAAAAAGAGAAAGGCAAUUACUUUAUUGUCAAGCAGAGUUUAUAGAGUAGCAGGACGGGAAGCUGUGUUGAUUAUGAUGUGCUAACACAGCUCUUUAGGGAAUUUCUCUCACUCACUAUGCCAUUUUAUAAUGGCUAUUUAAGAAAUUAAUAGGCUUAAUUCAACUAAGCAAAUAGUAAAUAGCAAUGAUGAUCA